UCCGCCCGGGAACUACGAGCAUUAGCUUAAAACCCAAAGGACUUGGCGGUGCUUUACCCCCCACUAGAGGAGCCUGUUCUAGAACUGAUAACCCCCGUUGAACCUCACCAUCCCUCGUUUAACCCGCCUAUAUACCGCCGUCGUCAGCUUACCCUGUGAAGGCCAAAUAGUAAGCAAAAAUGGCUAAGCCAAAAACGUCAGGUCGAGGUGUAGUGAAUGGGAUGGGAAGAAAUGGGCUACAUUCUCUGCCA
rnacentral:rRNA from 1 species